rnacentral:tRNA from 1 species
GCUUUGGUGGUUCAAUGGUAGAAUUCUCGCCUGCCACGCGGGAGGUCCGGGUUCGAUUCCCGGCCAAUGCA